GGGAGGGAGGAAGGGAGGAAGUGAGCUUCCACUGUCAGAGAAUUAAGACAAAAAGCUUUCCCUGCGACACCAGGUGAAUCACCUGCAGUCCCCUGUAGCUGAGGCCUCUCCUCCUGUCAGGACCCCUCUCUGUCCCCUAGACCUGGUGGAAGAAGGGCAAGCCUGAUUGACAGGCAGCCGACCUGGAGUUCUAGGUCUGCUGCACUCUGGUGAGGCUUGCGACCUUCAAGCUGGAACACGCAGCCGGUGAAGUGCUUUACAGGUGCCCUCCUGGGGGGGCAGUGGGCUCUGAGAGAUGGCCAAGCCCUUCCUGUCCCGUUCCUCGGGGACGCUGAGCUACCUUUUAGAACAGAAGGCAGAGAGGCAAAGCGGGUGGGGACAGAGCCCGUCAGUGGCCACGCCUCUGCUGUCCUACGAGCUGCUAGACCCCUCAGGGGAGAGUCCCUCCAUUUACGUCAGGGGGAAGAAUCCAGGAGGGACCAGCCACUGGUCAAAGCCACAUGCAGUGCCACCUGGGAAGAGAGGGAAAGCAGUGGCCUCACACUGCCAGGCACGGGAGUGCAAGCUGUUGGUUUCCUGUGUGACAAGCCCCGACCCUUGGGGUGUCCAAACACAGCCUUGAGUGAGGCGGGGUUCUCACGAUUUGGGGUAUGACUGGUCAACCAAAGACCUUUUCCUCCUACAAAUGUGAUAUAACUUUACUCCCUAAUAGACGUGGCAGGGGGGACUUUUUUCAGUACAAAAUAUCUGUCAAGAACAAUUUUAGAGGAGAACAAGUUUCCUUAGGGAUGAGGACUUCAAAGGCCUUUGUCCACAGAGGGCCAACACCACAGCUGUGGCCGAAGGGCGCGGCUGAGGACAUGACAGCCAGAAGGCAGAGAGAGACUCAGCUGGCUCUCCAGGGACAAAUGAUACCCCAAAUGCUGGCCCCCAGGGAACCACCUUCUCUAGCCACACCCCACGGGCCUAGAGUCACCAGCCAAGUUAAUCCGUUCAAGUGGAUUUAUGCACUGCUUGGGUUGAUCCUCUCGUAACCCAGCGCUUCCUCCUCCAAACUUUCUUGCCUUGUCUUACACUUGAGCUUUCGGGGGACCCCUCACAUCUGAACUAUAGCAGGAACAUCUUCCGUUUAUGUCACAGAUGUUGACUGAUCCUUCAACAAACACUUGGGAAUAAUGAUCCAGGGCCAGGGGAGUUGAUCAGCAGAACCCUGGGCGUCUAAGAACUGCUGUGACCCUCCCAGCCCAACAUAACUGACCUGCUCAGAAUCCAGGGAGUGGACCUGCAGCUGACCUCUUCUUCCUUUCUCAGGAUGUGACCACACUCUCCAGUGUCUGACUGCUGAUUCUCACUGCCAAUGGUGUGAGGGUGUGGGAUGCUCUGCCACAGUCUGCAAACUCUCAGUCACGGCACUGCCACGACAGUGACUUCUGGCUUUGAACCUGAAGGCCUCCACCAGACCAGCUCCUCCUGGGCCAGCCUUGCCACCCCACGGAUUGACAGAUACUUGUCUCCAUGCAAGUGUGAAUCCCACAGUAUGCGUCCAUCGCAGCUUCGACAUGGGUCAUUCCUGGGUGUGGGAGAUAUAAAAGAUGCCAGAAGGCGAAGAAAUCGGUUUUUAAAAAGAAACAAGAAAAAAAAUAUUGAUUCCUAGAAGAAAAGACUUGUCAAGGCAAUUUCUUGCAAGAGCAAACCCUUCAUUAGAAAUCAAGUUAGAGCUAAUUUUGAAGGAGCGGAUAGAUGUCUCCUGGCAUUUCCUAUUGUCGCAUCAUAUAUGGCACCUAUAGAUAAGAGUGAUUGUUUUCAGUCCCAUUUGUAUUAAAAGAAAGCUAACCAACUGAAGAAAAUCAAAUGUAAUUAGUUUUACCUAAAUUAUAGGUUUUCAGAGCAAUUAAUAAAACUGAAUGUUGAAAGCUGCUUGUUAAGCAAAUCAAAGAUCAAGGAAUAUAUUUUCUUUAUUAAAUGUCACUCCUAUGUAAACCAACCUACACAAAUCAUUUUGAAAUACAGCACAUGCGAAACUGGAGUAUUUCGCUGCAGUACUACUUAGGCAAUCCACAGACUGUCUCGAUGGCCAACCACAACGUGAAGUCACUACUCCGUGUCCACUUCUGACCGCUGAACAGGUAGGAGGCACAGCGGCCGACUCUGGGCCGCUGGAAUCAGGCCAAGCUGGCUGAGCGUCCACUCAGCUUUUCCCCAUCCCCACGGACAGGAACAAAUGCUUCACCACUCGAGCCUGGCUCUCGCUGUCCAUAAAACUGGUCUUGAUUUGGACCCAUGGAGCAGGAGGAACUCCUGUGACGUCCCAUGUAGGGCAUUUAGUGCACUGCUAUUCCCAGGGCCUAAGCCCAGUAGAUGCUGGGGACCAUCACUCCAUUUAUGCCAUUUGGGUUGGGCUGAUAGGAUCAAGUGGAAAUAACAGGGUUGGUGGACUCAUGCCACCCUGGGCCUGGGCAGUUGGUGCCCUGUGCUCAUGCGGUUCCCCCAAAGGUCGGAUGGCUGCUGUGGCAUAAAUGUAGCUUCAGGAUUAUUUGGGUCCCUUCUUAGAGAACAAUUACAGUCACACUACAUUUUUGAGAGCUUGUAUGUCUUUCUGCUACACUGUGAAUAUGAAUCUGUGCACAUAGCCUUGGGAGCAGGAAGGAAGCAACCCUAAGCCCCUUGUCUGGCUCGAGUCAUGGUUUUGUCUAUAAAAUGGUGGCAGAAGGCUUGACCUUUAGUAAUGAGAAACUCUGUAGAGAAGGGUCCUUGGAGUAGAGGCUCUCUACCCAGUACGUCUCGCUGGGGCCCUCAAAGAACUUCACAGAAAUAUUUCUACCACCAAGAAUUCAUGUGAUUUGAAUUUCCACCAUGGCUUUCCGGAAUGUUCUCUUUGCAUCACCGUAAGACCAGGGGAUACAUAAAAAUGCUAAGGCAACAUCCUUAGCAACAUCCACAAUUCCUUUCCCUUGUGCAUUUAUUUUCCUCAACCAUUGGGAGCAUCUAACUAUAUUCUACCAAAGUUCCAUCAUUGCAAGGAAAACAGUGUGACUAUGCCCCAUGAGCAGAGAAAAGCCUGAGACACACAGCCUUCUCCAUCGGAAGCAUGGGUCAAGACGAAAACGUCCCACUUUCUCCACAAUGUGAGUUUCCGUAGCAAUUACUAUAAAGACCACUUGAGCAUCUCUUUCAUAAUAACUGUAUAGACCCCCAGGACUGUUUCCCACUGUAUUUUUAUAGGCAGCAAAGACUCCAGGAAACACAGAGAUUUAAUCUGCACCAUUUGUUUCCUGAGGUUCCGAUGGGUUUCCAGGAUCCCUCUGAUCCAGGGGCCCAGAGAUAGAAUUACUGGUGAGCCUCUGUUGGGAAACCAGACACCUCCAGGCGAAUGGAGGAGUUAGGGUUGACACCCUUGUUGGACAGGACAAGGACAGCUCUCCAGAGAGGAGCAGAGUUUCCUUGGAAUCUCCCAAAGGAGAAGGAACACAUCUUAUUUGAAGUAGGAGACAUACAGCCAUGUAAUGCUGGCUUUCUUCCAAAUCAGAUGCCAGACCAGGCAGAUAGAAUGGGACGUGUCUGUCCUGUAGAGAGUCUGGUCCCUCUAGGGCCUUGAGUUUUCUGUGAGUCCACCUGAAAAAAGAGGGAGGUGACUUCUUCAUCAGACCUUUGGGGGCACUGCACAAAUACAGGGCACCAACUGCCCAGGCCCAGGGUGGCAUGAGUCCACCAUCCCUGUGUCCUUCACUUGGAGUGUGGAGGAAGAGCUGCUCAGGUCAGAACGGUGGUCUACAGAGCCUAAAUCAGGAGUUCUAGUUUUAAAAAGAAAUAAACAAAAAUAAGCAUACAACCCCCCAAGCAUGAAACCCCCAGAUAAACUUGCAAACCUUAGUAUUCACCUAAAGGACGGGAUGUUAACAAGAUGUUAAACAGCACACAGAACAGCACACAGAUGAAGGAAGAGACCAGAAAUAAGGAGCAUAUGGAUGAAAAUUUGCUUAAAAUACACAUGGGCUUAGAGAAAAAAGGAGAAAGAAAAACCUUUCUGGCCAAAAAAAAAAAAAAAAAUGUGCCUUGGGAUUGUGCCAAGUUUAAAAACAUUUGAAGCAAUAAUCUGAGUUUAGAAAAAGUACAGAAAGAUUCCUCUCACCCUCCUGGAUAAGCAAGGAAGAGAAACGUGGGCUGCAGAUCAGGCGGCUCGCUGUGGACCGCGGGGAUGCUGAACACGGCUGGCUUACCCCAGAGAGUGAGGCGCUUACCCUUGACACUCCUGUUGGGCCCACGUGGCGACAGGGAGGAGUCACCUCUGCCAGCGGGCUCCUGGCACUCCACCCUGAGUCACCUCUGCCAGCUGGCUCCUGGCACGCCACCCUGAGGCUUACUGCUCUCUGCGCCUUGGAAGGUUCAGCCCCGUGGACCUAGACCGUGCUCUCCGUCCGCACUGCUUCCCCAUUGUGUCCCUCUCUCCAUGUCUCUUCCUCUCAAACACAACUCUCCUCCCCUCCCCUUUAUCCAAACGAUGCCAGCCAGUCCUCCAGUCCCUGGCAGCAUAUUUGGAAAAUCCCUUCCAGGCUUCUCCACACCGGGAGGACCCGACCCUGCUACCUGGAAUGGCCAAGAGAGAGGCAGCAGGCUGGGAUCCUGGCUUUUGUCACUUUUAUUGAUGAGUAAUUUUUUCGAUCGCCUGUCUCCCAGUUCGUCCUAUACUUGCCAAGUGAGAGUCCAGUGGCCGCUCCUUGUUGUCUUCUCAGAGGAUCGGAUCCCAGCUCACUCGGAGCUGACUACACACACCCUUCUGUGUUCCAGUGGCAACCGCUGAGGCCCCUCCUGGAGUCUGCCCCAAGCCACGGGAGGGGUGCCACGAGGCUCUGCUUCUGGCCAAAUCAACAGUGACUCAGUUCCACUGUCAGGGAGCUGGUCUUGUACCUUGUUGGGUUGAAGGUCACUGAGUCACAGAGGAAUAACCAAGUCUGUGUAGAACAGAGACAAGGUGUCACUAAGCUGCUUAGGGCCUCUCUGAGUUGCUGAGGCUGGCUUUGAACUCACCACCCUCCUGCCUCACUCCUGAGGCACUGGGAUUAGAGGCCUGAGCCACUGCCUGGCAGAAAGGUCCUUUUUCCUCUUACCUGGGACCUAAGUCCUGCGUGGCGAGAGACGGUGGUUGUCUCACUCUGCUGCCUGCUGCUUGGGCCGCGUGCCUGGAGUGGGUGAUUUACAAACCAAGGAGUGAGUGGCUCAUGGCUCUGAGGCUGGACGUCUAGAGAGGGCCACUGGGCCAGGGACCUCACGUGUGACCAGGAGGCAGGAAGGCUGGGGCCAGGAUGGCCCUAGGGGCGGAGCUCCAGGGUGGCUCUUGUGGGACUGGACCCAGUUCCCCAGAGGGGGGCUGUGCUUUUUUUGGGAAGGGUGAAACCCACCAGGGAAGGAGCACAACCCCUUCAUGCGGGAGUCCUCAGGGCCUGGACCCCUGUCACUUCCCAGCACCGCUGCACAGAGAACGGAAUUCACCCUGAGUUCCGGAGCAGACUGACCAUGUGGAAAGGCCAGCAGAGCGUGCUGGACAUUCAGUCCACACAGGGUGGGAAAUGGUGACAUCAGGGAGAAGAGAAGGGUGAGCCCCCCCGGAGGAACUCCUUACCACAGAGACACAAACACAGGCGCGACCACACGCGCCGUUGGAGCUGUGCACCUGUCAGGCUAGAGCCAUGCGGAAUCAGGGAGGAAACCCAAUGGGAGGAGCAUGUUCAAUGGAAAGUCUUCCCUAUGUCCUCCAGCCGGGCCAGCUCUCUGGAAGUCCUUCACUGCACAUCAAGCUGCUUCAGAGGAGGCAGACUUCAUUCCGCUUUCUCUUGUUUGAUCACAUCUUUUCUGCCCAAGGUGGGGCUCCCUCAUGCACUAUAAAAUACUUCUUUGUAUAUCCUCCAUUGCUGACACCAGAGCUUAUGGAUCCUGCGAGGACCCUGGGAUGCAGCUCAGGCCAAUCUGUGGAGAUGAGAGACCACACGGAACGGAGCCGUCCCUCCUGGUUCCCUCCAGCCCAGCAGCCCACAAGCACUGACCCCGUGGACGGGUCCCUGCAGCCCAGCCUACCGUGCUGCUGCUGCUGCUGCAGAGGUGGAGAUGAGAAGGACGGCCACCCAGGACACCAGGCAGGAGGAGGAGGCUUGCUGUCCCAGCACCUGAGCUUGGCCGUGAUGUGUAGUCAGCACACACUGGCCAGUAGAGAUGGCCACCAAGAGCAGGAGACAUGGAGACACUGAAGCUCCCAUGGAUUCCUUCUGUGAUGAACAAGUUCCUGCUUCUGUAAAUCUGUACCAAACUAUGGAUUAUAAGCAGAUUUUAAUAAAAUUUAAAAUGA